GUUGUACUCCCUCUGUUCGGAAUUACUCGUCGAAGUUACUCGUCGAAGAAAUGAAUGUAUCUAGAUGUAUUUUAGUUGUAGAUACAUCCAUUUUUGUGACAAGUAAUUCCAAACGGAGGGAGUACUAA
rfam:Triticum aestivum genome assembly, contig: Triticum_aestivum_CS42_TGACv1_scaffold_500254_6BL